rnacentral:rRNA from 1 species
AAUGUCUACGGCCAUACCUAGGCGAAAACACCAGUUCCCGUCCGAUCACUGCAGUUAAGCGUCUGAGGGCCUCGUUAGUACUAUGGUUGGAGACAACAUGGGAAUCCGGGGUGCUGUAGGCCU